rnacentral:piRNA from 1 species
UGGUAUGCCUUGAACACAUUUGUUGAAU